rnacentral:rRNA from 1 species
GACGUAGGGGGCCAGCGUUGUUCGGAAUUACUGGGUGUAAAGGGUGCGUAGGCGACUUAUUAAGUCAGUGGUGAAAUACUCUAGCUCAACUAGAGGGGUGCCAUUGAUACUGAUGAGCUUGAGUACAGAUGAGGUAGGCGGAAUUGACGGUGUAGCGGUGAAAUGCUUAGAUAUCGUCAAGAACACCUAUAGCGAAGGCAGCUUACUAGGCUGUAACUGACGCUGAGGCACGAAAGUGUGGGGAUCAAACAGG